AUGGAAGCCCUAGGUCAGCUCCUUUGUCUCCUGUUAAUCUGGUGCCCAGGUAUCACUGGAGAAGCUGUGACGACACAGUCUCCUGCUUCCUUGUUAUUGUCUCUAGGAGAAACAGCCACCAUGACUUGCAAGAUGGGCCAGAGUGUUGGCAGCUACCUAGCCUGGUACCAGCAGAAAUCUGGGCAGCCUCCCAGGCUCAUCAUCUAUGGUGCAUCCACCAGGGCUCCUGGCAUCCCACCGAGGUUCAGUGGAAGUGGGUCUGGUACAGACUUUACCCUCACCAUCAACAGCCUGGAGCCUGAGGAUGUUGGAACUUAUUACUGUCAGCUGAUGAGUGGCUGGUGUCCCCCAGUGGUUCAGUGUGAAACAAAAACCUCCAAGAGACCAUCUGAGUGUUUUGAUUUACCAGCUGCUUCCUCUAUGGGCAGGUGCACUGGUGAUCGCUCAGUUUUAGCAUUUCUGCCUGUAUUUGGAAAUUUAGACGUACCGAACUGGAACUUCAUGGCAGGAUUGUUUUACUCUGUUUUCCAGAAUUUUUCUGGGAUUUACUUAUCCAGCUGGUUUCAGGAAACACUUUCGUGCUAA